ensembl:lncRNA
CCAAAUACUGAUAUUUUCUACAUGUUAGAUUCCAGGGUGUGGUCGCUCCUAAGCAGUGUACAAGGUGGGCCUGGUCCCAGACAUGGUCACUCAGUUAUGACAUACCAGGACUCUAUGUACCUUUACGGUGGCCUGCAGGGCCUGAGGGAACAGAAGGACCUGUGGAGCUGGAGUUCUGCCAGCCAAAUCUGGAGCUGCAUCAAUUUCCAUUCAGGUCCUUCCAGGCUGGUUGGUCACUCUGCUGUAUUGUUUAAGGACAGCAUGCUCAUCUUUGGCGGUGGGGAAACCCAGAGCUCUCCUCAGAGCAGCUUGUGGAGGUUCAACCUGACAACAAAAACCUGGAAGAAGCUAGCAAUGUUGCCUGGAUCCCCCGCUCUGUGCCGGAUCCAUCACUGCAGCAUUGGCAUAGGCCAGAGUUUCCAGCCAACAUCACCAAACAGCAUUUAUUUAAGAAAAAUACCCAACUCUCACAACAUCUAUAACAAGCUAAGACCAUUUAAGAACAAGUGCCAACCAUCCCGCCCCACUUUGCAAGAGCCCUGUAUUGAGCUCCAGACUUUCCACAUGGACAAAACAAAGUAUUUACCAGAUUUAAGUAUUGCAGUGAAAGACACUAAGCUGAAAGGAACCUGUCUCACCCAGGAGGCUAUUAGCGAGAAGCGGAAUAGUGGUGACCUGGCAGAGGAAACCGAGGACGCCAUGUUUCUCCAUAUGCCUGACUUGCUGUUAGUCCUGGGUGGUAAACCUCUACAAGGACAGCAUGCGAUUUCAGUGUGGCAUAUGACAAUGGCAUAAAUCUGUUGUUUUUAGUGCAUUCAACUUUCUCUGUGAGAAAAUAAUGAAUGGGCCUUAGCAACAAUACCUAUAUCCUGUUGGAGAACAAUUGAAUUCAGUCAUGUACAAAAUUUUCACAGUGUUUGUAAUUAUUACAUUGACUCGUAUUACAUGCUAGGAAUCAAUCCAAACAUUGUCACAUUUUGUAAUUUGCUUUGUAUGCGUUUUGUUAGAUCCAUGUAUAUUGCUGUCAGAACACAUUCAUUUUCCUGCCUUCGCAUCGUUUCAGGAUAACUGCACUCAAACGAUUUAAUAAGUAAUGCAUUACAUGAGUAAUCCCUUUGCAGCAAUCAAAAAUGUGUUGCAGGGCCAAUGUUAAAACCAACACUAGUCUGUAUUUAUUUUUGGAUUGCUAAAAAAAGUAAUCUAACAAAAACAAAUAUUGCUAGAAAACUACAUUUGUAGCAUAUUUGCAUUAAAUUUACAUUUAGUCAUUUAGCAGACACUUUAACCAAAACGGCUUACAAAUGAGGACAAAAGAAGCAAUCAAACCAACAAGCCAACCUAAUAAUAUGUAAAUGCUGUGAAAAGUCUCGGUUAGUCUAACACAGUAAACGUAGCAAAUUAUUUUUUAAUAUAUAAUAAAUAAAAAGGAAACAAGUAGAUAGAAUAGAAAAAAAUAGAGAACGCUAGUGCUAGAGGGACAUUUUUUUUUAAUAAAUAGAAAAGUCAAAAGAAAAGAAAAAGAAUAGAGGACGCUAGUGUUAGAUGGUCAUUUUUAAUAAUAAAUAAAAAGAAAACAAGUAGUGAGAAUAGAAAUAGGAUAGAGAGUGCAAGUGUUAGAGGGUCAUGUUUUUUAAAAAUAAAUAAAUAAACGCUGUACUAAAUAUAACUAUAAUAGCUAGAAAAUGUUACAAUAAUACAACAUAAAACUAAUUUAAAAAGGGAAUUAACUGCUUGUAAUCACUAAUUGUUAAACAAGUUCAUUUCUACAUGCAUGUAGUGUUUAUUGCCACUGGAGGGGGACAAACUUCGCAAGUCACGCUACACAUAAGUUCAACAAAUGCACAGAUACAUUCAUUCAUUAUUCUAAACUUUAUUUAAUUUAUUUGUACAUUGAAACAAAAGAAAGAAAAAUAUAGUUCACAUCUGUAGGCUAAACAGAUGCAUACCAUCAUCAGUAUCCUUUAUCCUUAAUAUUAAUGGAUAACAAAAUGUUCCAUUAUGAAAAGUGUGACAUAAAUUCAAUAGAUUUUCCCAAGGCAAGACAUUCAAGUUACAGAAGAACUGAACACAUGACAAGGGUCAUAAUACAAAGUGUCCUUUUAAAUUGUAUUGAACUGAAUUGUGUAGAGAAUUAAUCAUAUUAGGACACACCACACAUAUAUGGCUAAAAAGUGUUUAUAUAUAUUGAUAAUCUGUAUGAAGGCAUGGUUUGUUCACUUUAGACUGCAAAACUGGUAUGGAGGUCCACAGGGCUGUGUCCUGAGUCCUCUGCUCUACUCUCUCUACACUCAUGACUGCUUGUCUUCCCACAGCUCCACAUCUAUUAUCAAAUUUGCUGAUGAUACUGUGGUUCUGGGCCUCAUUUCCAACAACAAUGUCAUACUUGGAUGAGGUAGAGAAACUCACAGCAUGGUGCCAGGACAAUUGUCUCUCUAUGAAUGUGAGUAAAACUAAAGAGCUGAUUGUGGACUUAAGGAAGAGACAGCAGCGGCCCUAUACUCCUCUUAUGAUCAGUGGGACCCCAGUGGAGAGGGUGAGCAGCUUCAAGUACCUUGGUGUAAACAUCUCAGAGGACCUGACUUGGACUUCACACAUCCAAACUCAGGUUAAUAAAGCCAGGCAAAGACUGUACCAUCUGCGACAGCUGAGAAAAUUCAGGGUUUCGCCAGCAAUCCUGAAAACUUUCUAUUCAGGGACCAUAGAAAGUGUAUUGCCACUCAGUGUGGUAUGGGAACAGCUCCAGUCAAGACUGCAAAGCCCUGCAGAGAGUUGUACGCUUAGCUGAGCGCAUCUCA